rnacentral:misc_RNA from 1 species
GAAAUGCGAUAAGUAAUGUGAAUUGCAGAAUUCAGUGAAUCAUCGAAUCUUUGAACGCACCUUGCGCUCCUUGGUAUUCCUUGGAGCGUGCCUGUUUGAGUAUCAUGAAAUCUUCAAAGUAAAUCUUUUGUUAACUCAAUUGGUUUCUACUUUGGUAUUGGAGGUCUUUGCAGCUUCACACCUGCUCCUCUUUGUUCAUUAGCUGGAUCUCAGUGUUAUGCUUGGUUCCACUCGGCGUGAUAAGUUAUCUAUCGCUGAGGACACUGUAAAAGGUGGCCAAGGUAAAUGCAGAUGAACCGCUUCUAAUAGUCCAUUGACUUGGACAAUACUUUUAUGAUCUGAUCUCAAAUCAGGUAGGACUACCCGCUGAAUUUAAGC